rnacentral:rRNA from 1 species
GAUGAACGCUGGCGGCGUGCCUAAUACAUGCAAGUCGAGCGAACAGACGAGAGUGCUUGCACUCUCUGACGUUAGCGGCGGACGGGUGAGUAACACGUGGGUAACCUACCUAUAAGACUGGGAUAACUUCGGGAAACCGGAGCUAAUACCGGAUAAUAUUUAGCUUCGCAUGAAGCAAUAGUGAAAGACGGUUCUGCUGUCACUUAUAGAUGGACCCGCGGUGUAUUAGCUAGUUGGUGAGGUAACGGCUCACCAAGGCAACGAUACAUAGCCGACCUGAGAGGGUGAUCGGCCACACUGGGACUGAGACGCGGCCCAGACUCCUACGGGAGGCAGCAGUAGGGAAUCUUCCGCAAUGGACGAAAGUCUGACGGAGCAAUGCCGCGUGAGUGAAGAAGGUGUUCGGAUCGUAAAACUCUGUCGUAAGGGAAGAACAAGUACGUUAGUAACUGAACGUACCUUGACGGUACCUUACCAGAAAGCCACGGCUAACUACGUG